GGGGCGGUCCCUCCCGCGAGUCCUCCGACCCCCGCAGGGCGCAGGGUGGCGAGCGCCGCUCUCCCGGGCCGAAAGGGCCGAGGGGCGCUUCAUUUUCCCGUCUUCGAAGUGGGGACAGUCGCUGCCGCCCUGCUCCGGGUUGGAAGACAGCCGCUUCCAACCCCGCCUCUGCCCUCCAGCCCCUGCAGCGGCCUGCGGGUCACAGUGGCCGCCCCCCACCCGACCUGCCAGCCCUUUGCACAGCCGUACCCCUCCCCGAGGGAACAGAACUUCCCGCUAUCUCUUCCCUCUGCCUGGAAUGCAGUCCACCCAGCUGAGCCUGCUCCUGCAAGCGGCCUCACGGGGAGGGUUCGGCGACAUACCCAGGCCCAUUUUACAGAAUGCUGACACUGAGACCAGAGCGUUCAGAGGAACCCGCCUCAAGGUGCUCAGCUGGAGAUGGCCUGUAGGGAACUGUGGCCCUGGAGAGGCUGGGAGGGCUAAGCUUUCCUGUUGAGCACUGUGGAGGGAGCACAGACUUGGACCAGUGAGGAAACAGAUUGACUGGACAGUGCUGCUUCAUCUUUCGUCUGCUGAGAUCACUUAUACAGCUGCAACUGGCUGGGGCUCAGUGGGGGUGAAAGAGUCAAGGCUUCACCCACGUGACUGCAGUUGAUGUGAACUAUCAGCCUGGCAACUCAGCUGGCUGCCAGCACAGGCUGUCAUCUCAGAAUCAGGGAUUGUGAGGUUAAGCGAGAGCCUCCCUGCAGCCCUCGGAGCAGCCAAAGAAAGUGCUUGGAGACAGCUGAUCGGAGGCUCGUGAUCCGGAUGGCGACAGCGACAGCAAACAUGAGGCUUAUUGUUGGAGCCCCACCUGCCCUGCCAAAGCUGAGCACACAGCCUUGCAGAUAAGCCUGCCCCCUGCUCCUCCCUCUGUGAGGCAGAGACAGGAAUGGGUGAGGAGGUGAGGCUUGUUUAACGGGCUGAGGCCAGGAGUUCUCCAGUGGCCUCGUGGUUAGAGACCUGGCGUUGUCACUGCUGUAGCUCAGGUUCGAUCCCUGGUCUGGGAACUUCCACAUGCCUCGGGUGCAGCCAAAAAUUAAAAAAUUAAAAUUAAA